AUUCUUCCCGGAACGAGCCCUUCCGUGGCCGGCGGCGCGCCACCGCUUCUUCCUCGGCGACUCCGCAUGGUGUCCGCUUUGGCUCCGCCUCCUUCCUCUCUAGAAUUCGUGUAUGGAGGUCUCGAGCGCCGCUUCCUUUCUCCCUCCUGGCCUCACCUUUUCUCACAAGCAUGAGAGGACGCCCCAAGGACAGAGACAACCCGAUUCCGCGACGAGGAAGACCAUGCGCGCUUGACAGAAUCGAUGCCUGCUGCUCCUGAUCGGUGAGCACUAACUUGCCUCCGGACCGCCCUGCUACCAAGGACGACGCCAUGGGCAAGGUGGGGCGCACGGACGGAUGAGGUCCCGGCGGCGGCCCUCAGGCUUGGCGCUCCAUGAACGGGUAUUCCUCCCGAUGGGGAUAUAGUGGGAGUGGCUAUGGCGGGCGUCUGGCCGCCGCUUCUCUGCCGCGACUUCAACCAGGGGUAUAGUCGUUUUAUCCAGGAGAGAGAAGAGGGGAGGCGGGGGGCAUAAGGAGGGCGCUGUGUUGGCGAACAGAAGGAUAAUUCGCGUCCCCGCCCGAGUUUCCCCAAUCCCCGACCUCUUCUAUCCGAACCCGGAGAUCUCAACUGCACAAGUAGCAGUGAUGGGAGCAGCACACUGACAGGAGCGACAUCGCGCCGAGUUUCCGAAGCCAGCCAAGGCAUGGCGGCGGCGCGCCGACCUGGCCACCGCGCGACCUCGGGAGGAAGUUGGAGUGGCGGGUGGCGGCGAUGCUGUCGGCACUGAGACCAGACGGCGAGUAGGGAGCAGCGACCUGGUUUUCCUAGAUUGCAUCUACACGAUUCUCGCCGUGUCGCCGUGGUCGCCGUCGCUUCAGGGCAUGUGGGUUACCUCCAAUGCAGCGGUCCUACAAUAGUCUCUUAUCUCAGGUUGCAGACGAGCAAGGAAGCGGAUGCGGGCACGAUGACGGGCUCCAUCCACAAAGUCCCUGUCGACACCUUCACCAUCCUCCCCCCGUCCUGAGUUGCUGCUUACCCCAAAAUCUUCCCCGCCGGAUCUCUCCCCUGCCGUGAGAGCCCCCUGGCCGGCGGCCGUGGCAUCGGUCGGGUCCUCCUCUGUCUCUGAGGCUCUCCUGCCGUCCCGUGCUCUGGCUUCUCCCAUACAUCUCCUCACCUGGACGGCGGUCUGCGACCUGCUGGUUGGUUCGCUAUGUGGGGACUGGAUGGCCAGCAGCGCCGCCGCCUGCUCUGAGUCUGGGGGCGCGGCGUUUUGUCAUUGUGUGGACCACCCGGACGACGACCAGGAGUCCAGGAUGCAUACAACUCUGUCGGCGAGGUGGUGUGCGAAAGACUCAUGGCUGAACCGGUGGGUACGUGUAUCACUGCUAGGACAAUUCAGAUAAUUCGCGUAGCUAAUACUUACUGGGAUAACGAUGGUCAAAGCAUUGAGGCCCAGCGAGUGGCGGAGCUCCUCAUGUGCUAUUUUCCUUUACAAUGUUUUACUAUCAAUGUGUGGAGAAUAAUUAUUUAUAUGACAUUCAUUAUUGAUCCAAAACAUAUCUGAUUUUGUAGAUUCCAUUAUUUAAGUUGAAUAUGAUUUAAAAAAAAACUAUUUCUAUCCUAUACUUGGCUGUUGUAAAUUUGAUUAUGUUCUUUUUGCAUGUUGUGGUGUCGUAUUUUAGACAACACAGAACAUUUAACUUCCAUUGUCUAAACGUGUUAACAAUAUAUUGUAUGCAGUUCGGUGCUAGGAAAAAAAUUUAAGUACAUGUGGAUAUAUUUUCUAUUAAACCCGCUGAGCAUUAUUGUAUAUGUAUCACUAUUUUUGUAUGCAAGUUCUAUGCUAGGAAAAAAAGCCUUCAUUACAGGUACACAUACUUGCUCUACUUCAAGAUAGCUUUCCAUUUCUCAUCCAAGUUACUUUGUUAACUCAUCUCUAGCUGAAGUGUUUGGGAGAAGCAAAAGAGUGUAGUCCUUGGAAUUUUGAUUGUCGGUUUACUCAAAGGACUUAAUUCCUAAGUGUUUUCAUGCCUUAGAACACUGAAUGCAUCAUGUUCUCACAUAUGAGUUAUUUGUUCAAACCAAGUUAGUUGUAGCAAAUUAGCAGAAAGGGAUACAUUUACCUCAGAUAAGUUUUCUUCAGAGUCCAUUGCUAUUCUUGCUAUCCGGAGUAGCAACAUGUUAUCAAAAUAUUUUUUCGGGUGGAAGCUCUAGCUUUGUGUCCUCAAGAACAACAUAAUACUUGCAAAAAAUAGGCAAAAACAUCUAAUAUGUCAGCUCCCCCUGUACGCCUCUUUUCGUGGAUCAAAAGGAAGUUGUAAAUUUCCCGUUUUCAUUAGCUAGAUAAAAGUAUAUUGGUUCAACAAAUAGCAAGUGAUAAAAAGUCUCUCUUUUUUGGUCAAAUAAAUUUCUAAGUUCACGAGUUAUUGCUUCUUUGGUUGCAUUCAAAACCUGAAUUUCUAUGGUUUGACCUGCCUUUGGAUAUGCAAACAGCCUUCCUCAGAAUUAUGUCAAAGCAUUUGAAAAGACAGAGAUCAAAACACUGGACAACUUACAUAAGAAUUAGGUUUGGUCAUAUAGGCUGCCAGGUGUUGCACAUGAGUGCUGCUGCCAAAUCUGCUGCUGGCCAUCUACUUGCUCUGUCAUGGUUAGACUGUAACUGGGAUAGAUAAAAUUAUACAGCGCGGAAAUGUCCUGCACCGUGCUAUUUGUCACAUGUGAUGCUAUUGGGUAAUAUCUAUCCCGGUUAUAACUUCAGAUAUGCUUACACAAUUGCCUAUAACUUAGAGAUUCAGUUAACUUGCAAUUGCCUGUAUAUAUAUACGUUUUUAUGUUCAGUUACUUUAACUACUCUGUCCAAAAAUGUGAUACUUUAGUCCCCUCCUUUUAUAGCCAUUACUUUGCAUGGAACUUUGCAGUUAUCCUCGCUGUCUCUUCCAUCACGUGUUACAGUUUGAAUCAACCAUAUCGUGCCAUAUCAUCUACUCCGUAUUUUGCUUACUAAGCUAUGCAAUCUUUAUUCAUACAAUUAAAAUGGAGGGUUGUGUGCCAGGUAACCAUAAUCGACCUAUCCAGUCGAUAUAUGCAUCAUCCCUGAAGCACGAAGAAAGACCCAAUAAUUUAUUAUGCAUCCUGCCAAUUUUUCAGUGUUACUACAAUACAUAACCGUUUGCACCUCUGGCAGCACACGUUGGAGAUAAUACUCUUCUUUCAGGGUACUUAUCUAACAUGACAUACGAUUUAUUAUCUAUUUCAUUUGCAUUCUUUGAUUAUUUCAUACCGUAUUUCAUUACCAUUUUUGAUAAUUUAUCUAAACUAUGGAAAUAACCAUACUUGCAAAGUUAUACUAGCAGCUAA